UACAGAGGUGGCAAGCGUUGUUCGGAAUUACUGGGCGUAAAGGGCGCGUAGGCGGUUCGUCAAGUCCUGUGUGAAAUCCCCGGGCUUAACCUGGGAACUGCACUUGUGACUGCACAGCUGGAGUACGGCAGAGGGGGAUGGAAUUCCGCGUGUAGCAGUGAAAUGCGUAGAUAUGCGGAGGAACACCGAUGGCGAAGGCAGUCCCCUGGGCCUGUACUGACGCUCAUGCACGAAAGCGUGGGGAGCAAACAGG
rnacentral:rRNA from 1 species